rnacentral:rRNA from 1 species
CAGUAGCCGCGGUAAUACGAGGGGGGCUAGCGUUGUUCGGAUUUACUGGGCGUAAAGGGCGCGUAGGCGGACUGAUAAGUCAGGGGUGAAAUCCCAAGGCUCAACCUUGGAACUGCCUUUGAUACUGUUUGUCUUGAGUUCGAGAGAGGUAAGUGGAACUGCGAGUGUAGAGGUGAAAUUCGUAGAUAUUCGCAAGAACACCAGUGGCGAAGGCGGCUUACUGGCUCGAAACUGACGCUGAGGCGCGAAAGCGUGGGGAGCAAACAGGAUUAGAUACCCCCGUAGUCCCUGUCUCUUAUAC